GAUGCAAAGGACUCAGAUAUAGAGAAGCAAAAAGCCAGAGUAGAAGAGGUAGAGCAUGCCCUCCAGAAGGUGAAGGAGAAGAAGGAAAAAAGCGAGACCCAGAAUGCUGCCCUGGACGCUAAGGUCCAGCAGCUUCAGCACAACCUGAAUGAGGCCCACCAAGAACAGCUACUACUGGCUCAGAAGCUGUCAUGUGUUGAUAAACAGACAUCUAUGCUAAAGGAUAGCCUAGACUGUACCCAGCGGAAGCUGGAAGAUAAGAUAGCUGAGAACAUGGAAAAGAAAGAGCUUAUCGACAAGCUUUCCAGUGAGCUCAAAGGACAUCAGAAAGAUAAAUCCACACUAGUGGAUCUACUGGAAACAGAAAGAAAGAAUAUUGAAAUGCUGACGUCAGAACUUGAAGUAUCCAAUAGGAAACACCAUGAUGCAGAAAAGGAGAUCACAGAACUUCAGAAAUCAGUGGAUGAUAUGAAACUACAGCUGUGUAAAAGCCAGGAGAAGAUGAAGGAACUCAUAGACGAGCUUGAGGAGGAAUGUUAUAUUAAUGAGAGUCUGCGAAAACAACUGAAACAGCUAGAGAGGGAGCGAGAGGACCACCAGGACUUGAGGCUGACGUGGAAGAACCAGGAGAAGGAGCUAAAGGACAAAAUUGAGGCGCUCAAGAAGGAAAUCCAAGAUGAUAAGAAACUGGAGAUGGAGAAACUGAGUGUCCUUGAACAUCAGGUCAAGAAUCUUCGGGAUCAGCAGAAACAUCCCUCACAGCAGAGAGGAACUCAGGACAAGCUUGAGGCUGUUGUGAUGUUGCAUCUCUCUGAAGAGGAGGAGGAUGGAUUGAAUGAACCCGAGGAUGAGGAUGAGAACCAGUGUCUACAGGAGUUAUCUAAAAGGAAGCCCAGAGCUGCUGAGAAGAUCCAACAGCAGGUUGAAAAGGUGAGCAGACCCAAGAGCACCACACUGGUAGAGAAAGGGGACAGCUCUGGACAAUCAUUCUGUAAACUAGGCACCUGUCCUUUGACACAAAUGUAUCACACUCCACUAAAAUCCAAUGACCAAGCUCACUCCCAGGCUUGCUGGUCAGCACUCACCCCUCCAUAUCCUCCUACCAAAGCCAAGUUACACAUUCAUCUCAAACUCAUUGAAGCAAAGGUCACAUCUUCCUCCACAUAAUGAACACUUUUAAAAAUACAGAUUAAUUAGGAGCCCCAAACCACCUGGACCUUGGCACCACCUUUUCUCACCUCUGCUUUAAGGUAAGCUGACUGGAUUGGUGGGCUGAAAGCUGCAAACCAAAAGGAAAUGAAUGGGAGUAGAGGCAGGAGAACAUCUACCCUCAUUUCUACUAUGAGAGUAAGAAAAAAAAAAGUCAGACAGUCUCCUAACCAAAAUCACUCCAAUUUUCUAUGCAAAAGUUGUAGAAGAUGUCAAAGAGAUUGAUGAGAACAGGCCAAGAUAUCAGAGGAUGAAAUGUAGGACUGCGGCCCAGGUUAACAGGUGGCAGUAAUUCCUGAUGUCUGGGGCUUCGCUCUUCUACAAUGAGUAGGAAAAGGGCCAACUGAAUGAGUCCAAAGAUGAGAACUAUAUUCUCCAGAAUAAGAUCAAAUCUUAUCCAACAGGACUCACCCAAGAAGAAGCUCAGUGCUACUGAAAAGAUGAUGCAAAAGCUCGUAGGAAAGGUGAGGAGACCCAACAGCACCACACUCGUAUAAACCGGGAACAGCACCAGUCAUUCUAUAAUCUAGCCACCUAAUUUUUGUCACAGAGGUAUCAGUCCCCAAUUAGUUUACUAACACCUAAAAUUUUAUGGCCAAGGUCAAUCCUAGGCUUGUUUGUCAACAUCCGACCCAACUUAUUCUUCUACCAAAGCAAGGUUUCACUUUCAUGUCACAGUCACUAAGGCAAGAGUCAAUUGUUCUCCAUGUAGGGAGAGCUUUUGGCAAUAUUUAAUAGUAGCUGGCCACUAACACCGGGACCUCGAUCCACCUUUUCCCUCCCCCUCUUUGAGCUGGCUGACUGGUUGGUUGGCCAAUUGUUUUAGAGUUGGAAAACAAAGUAGAAAUGGGCGGGAGACAAGGGCAACGGUCUACCUAUCCUUGCUCCUACAAUGUGAGUUAGAAAGUGAGGGAAAAAGGAAGUCAGAACAAUCUAUUUUCCAAAGAAACUCACUCCA
rnacentral:lncRNA from 1 species